rnacentral:lncRNA from 1 species
CUUCCUUCGUUUUCUUCCCCUCCGACAGUCAAAAUUUUUUAAAUAUUAAAAAGAGAGAGGGAAGCACCCUUACCUCCGACGGAUGGCAAUGGUUGUGGUGGAGAAUCUGACGGAAGUGAUGGUGGAAGCCGGCAAUGGUGGAGCCCAUGGUAGAAGCCCGCGACGGUGGAAGCCAGCACCAGAUGGCGAUGGAGAUGCAGUCGCCGGCGGGAAGAGAGGGGGGGAGAGCUUGGAAAGGGAGAGGGUUUCGUGGGAAGAGAAGCGAUGGGUUAUGAGGCUCCAUAG